ACCACUUCUGCACUGCAGUUUUUACACACUCUCUCUCUCUGCAGAUGCCUCAUCCCCCACAUCCCGACACCCAGACCUGAUUUCAGCCAUUUUGGCUCUUCUCGAUCCGAAUACCAUCCAUACUUCACGCCCACUCAACAUGCACCCAUUACCCACCAGUGGACGUGUCGAGAGCGCAUGUCGAGUUGGCGUACGUGUCGGCAUAUGUCAGGGAGGGAGUGGGCGUAGGAGGAAGACUGAAUGGGAAUGAGAG
rnacentral:lncRNA from 1 species